AUGUCAGAGUACAAGGAGAAGAUAGGGUUGAAGUGCCAGUUCCUCAUUGAACCCAAGCCUAAAGAGCCAUGCAAACAUCAGUACGACUAUGAUGCAAUGAGUGUCAUAGGCUUCCUGAAGCAUUAUGACCUGGACAGCCAUUUCAAACUGAACAUCGAACCCAACCACACCACUCUGGCUGGGCAUUCCUAUGAACACGACGUCGUCAUGGCCUCUGUGUUUGGCAUGCUGGGCUUUGUGGACUCCAACACAGGUUCUCCUGACCUGGGCUGGGACACAGACCAGUUCCCCAUGGACAUCAGGAACACCACCAUGAUCAUGAAGACUGUGAUAGAACAGGGUGGUCUGCAGCCGGGGGGUCUGAACUUCGAUGCUAAGGUGCGUAGGGAGUCCACGGACUUGGAGGACCUGUUCAUAGCCCACGUCGGAGCCAUGGACGCCUUCGCACGCGGCCUGAGGAACGCGGUCAGGAUCAUAGAGGAAGGAGUUAUCACCAGCAUGGUCAAGGAGCGCUACAUGAGCUUCAGCCAUGGGAUUGGUCAGAAAGUAGAGGAUGUCAGCGCCUCAUUGGAGGAGUUGGAGGACUUUGUCAAGCAAAAUGAGCAGCCCAAAGUCACAUCAGGAGAAAUUUGA
rnacentral:lncRNA from 1 species